CCCUUAGAUGUUCUGGGCUGCACGCGCGCUACACUGAUGCGUUCAACGAGUUUACGGCCUUGCCCGAUAGGGUUGGGUAAUCUUCUUAAAACGCAUCGUGAUGGGGAUAGAUUAUUGCAAUUAUUAAUUUUCAACGAGGAAUUCCUAGUAAGUGCGAGUCAUCAGCUCGUACUGAUUACGUCCCUGCCCUUUGUACACACCGCCCGUCGCUCCUACCGAUUGAAUGCUCAGGUGAGCCAUUCGGACUUUCAUCAUGCUGGUUUCCAGUUUUGAUGAAGGAAAGUCUUGCGAACCUUAUCAUUUAGAGGAAGGAGAAGUCGUAACA
rnacentral:rRNA from 1 species